CAUAGUGACUCAAAAGAACAUCUUCAAUCUUCAGACAAUAUCAAUUCUUCUAAUGAGGUUACUCAAGAGCUAUGAGUAUUUUUACAAAUGCUGAUUGAGAGAUCACAACCCUGCUGGAAAACCAAAGGCUGAGAGCACAGGUCAGUCAUUGGAGACCUACCACAGCAACAAUUGUAAACAGUCUUCCAGGGACAUCUUUACCAAAAACAAAGAAAGUACUGAAGAAAGAAAUCGGAUGAUUAUUUCAAGAAUAUAAUUGCAUUGUUUGAAAUAUUUUCACAUAGAAGACGACAACUACUCUGAAAGAGAAAUCUUAGACUUGGAUCUGAAUGGCAAGUCUUCAUUACGGAAGGCGGUUCCUUGUAGACCUGCUAGAGAUUUCUGGAAAACGUUUGAUUUUUGUUGGAACCAAAGUAGUAGUAGUAAAUAAAUGGGAUCACACAAACACAACCAAUGGUAUAUUUCCUCCCUAUUGCUAAUAAGGAGAAAUUUAAGGGGCUACAAGGAGAUCUGAGGGGUGAAUAAUUUCCUUCUCAUUGCCAGGAGAAGCAUCAGCUGGCAUAGGGAACUGGAGAUCUCAUGCUUACAGGAAGGUUUUUUGUCUGUUUCCUAGUCAGCACUGAUUGGACUCCAUUUCAUUUCUGACAGUUGAAAUUUUAUUUCAUGUUCUAUUAAUGUUCAAGUCCAGAUAUGAAUAAUAUCUGAUUAUGGAAAUUCUGGGACAAAAUUCUGCUUUUUGAGUGAGUGUACAUCUGGACCCAAAUAUGACAUGAAUUUCUUACUCAUAAGCUCCCAAAUAAAUAACAAGAAUGUCUGUUAAUAUAUAUAUAUA